rnacentral:rRNA from 1 species
UACAGAGGGUGCGAGCGUUGUCCGGAAUCACUGGGCGUAAAGGGCGCGUAGGUGGCCGAGCAAGGUCGCGGUGAAAGCCCGGGGCUCAACCCCGGGUCGGCCGUGGCAACUACUGGGCUGGAGCACUGUAGGGGCGGGUGGAAUCCGGGUGUAGCGGUGGAAUGCGUAGAGAUCCGGAAGAACACCGGUGGCGAAGGCGGCCCGCUGGGCAGUGCUGACACUGAGGCGCGACAGCGUGGGGAGCAACAGGG